CAGUCGCCGCGGUAAGACAGAGGGUGCGAGCGUUAAUCGGAUUUACUGGGCGUAAAGCGUGCGUAGGCGGCUUUUUAAGUCGGAUGUGAAAUCCCUGAGCUUAACUUAGGAAUUGCAUUCGAUACUGGGAAGCUAGAGUAUGGGAGAGGAUGGUAGAAUUCCAGGUGUAGCGGUGAAAUGCGUAGAGAUCUGGAGGAAUACCGAUGGCGAAGGCAGCCAUCUGGCCUAAUACUGACGCUGAGGUACGAAAGCAUGGGGAGCAAACAGGAUUAGAUACCCCCGUAGUCCCUGUCUCUUAUAC
rnacentral:rRNA from 1 species